CAGCUUCAGAGGCUCAUCUCACUACUGGUAUGAAGGUGUUCUCCCCAUCUGGACCACAAGAAAAUCUGGAGAAGGAUUAGGAUCUGAAGCUUUUAUCAAGGGUUAGGUUUCCUCCAUCAGAGCUUGGGAGGAUUUCUCCUACAUUUGCUUCUGUCUGCGUAGAGGGUGGCUGUGAGUAGAGCAAUGGAGCUGGUGUAAGAGUUCAAAUCUAGCUGUGGACAUGACCCUCUUCCUGCCUCAAGUUCCCUGUCUGCCAAAUGGGGAUAAUAAUAGUUCCCACGUCCCAGAUUGCUGAGAGGGUCAAAGGAGUGACAAGAAGUUUCUCAGUGAUCAUCAACCCAGCUUCAACUUCUGAGCUUAGAGAGUCUGAGAAACUAAGUGGUUUGUCCAGGAUAUUCAGCUGGUAUGUGCUGGAGGUUUCUGACCCCAACGUCAGCUGCCUUUUGUACCACAAUAAACACCCAUUUACAUAAAGUUCUUAAAACACU